rnacentral:rRNA from 2 species
UGGAUCCAGACUUUGAUCCUGGCUCAGGAUGAACGCUAGCUACAGGCUUAACACAUGCAAGUCGAGGGGAAACGACAUCGAAAGCUUGCUUUUGAUGGGCGUCGACCGGCGCACGGGUGAGUAACGCGUAUCCAACCUGCCCACCACUUGGGGAUAACCUUGCGAAAGUAAGACUAAUACCCAAUGAUAUCUCUAGAAGACAUCUGAAAGAGAUUAAAGAUUUAUCGGUGAUGGAUGGGGAUGCGUCAGAUUAGCUUGUUGGCGGGGUAACGGCCCACCAAGGCUACGAUCAGUAGGGGUUCUGAGAGGAAGGUCCCCCACAUUGGAACUGAGACACGGUCCAAACUCCUACGGGAGGCAGCAGUGAGGAAUAUUGGUCAAUGGACGAGAGUCUGAACCAGCCAAGUAGCGUGCAGGAUGACGGCCCUAUGGGUUGUAAACUGCUUUUAUAAGGGAAUAAAGUGAGUCUCGUGAGACUUUUUGCAUGUACCUUAUGAAUAAGGACCGGCUAAUUCCGUGCCAGCAGCCGCGGUAAUACGGAAGGUCCGGGCGUUAUCCGGAUUUAUUGGGUUUAAAGGGAGCGUAGGCCGGAGAUUAAGCGUGUUGUGAAAUGUAGACGCUCAACGUCUGCACUGCAGCGCGAACUGGUUUCCUUGAGUACGCACAAAGUGGGCGGAAUUCGUGGUGUAGCGGUGAAAUGCUUAGAUAUCACGAAGAGCUCCGAUUGCGAAGGCAGCUCACUGGAGCGCAACUGACGCUGAAGCUCGAAAGUGCGGGUAUCGAACAGGAUUAGAUACCCUGGUAGUCCGCACGGUAAACGAUGGAUGCCCGCUGUUGGUCUGAAUAGGUCAGCGGCCAAGCGAAAGCAUUAAGCAUCCCACCUGGGGAGUACGCCGGCAACGGUGCAACUCAAAUGAAUUGACGGA